rnacentral:rRNA from 1 species
GUAUUACCUGCCCAAUGAUAAAUUUAAUGGCUGCAGUAUAUUGACUGUACAAAGGUAGCAUAAUCAUUUGCUUUAUAAAUUAAAGCUUGUAUGAAUGGUAUAAUGUAAAUAUAACUGUCUUUUAUUUAUAAAUAAAAUUUGCUUUUUCAGUGAAGAAGCUGAACUUUUUUAGAAAGACGAGAAGACCCUAAUGAGUUUUAUAUAUAAUUAUAUAAUAUUAUGAUAAUAUAUUUUAUUGGGGUAAUGAAAGAAAAAAUCUUCUUUUAUAUUUUAAAAAUAAUAUUUAUUGAACCAUUAAUAAUGACUAAAAGUUUAAAUUACCAUAGGGAUAACAGCAUAAUUCUUUUUAAGAGUACAUAUCGACAAAAGAGAUUAUGACCUCGAUGUUGAAUUAAGAAAAUUAUAUAAUGCAGAAAUUAUAUUAAUAAGUC